rnacentral:rRNA from 1 species
CAGCAGUAGGGAAUCUUCGGCAAUGGACGGAAGUCUGACCGAGCAACGCCGCGUGAGUGAAGAAGGUUUUCGGAUCGUAAAGCUCUGUUGUAAGAGAAGAACGAGUGUGAGAGUGGAAAGUUCACACUGUGACGGUAUCUUACCAGAAAGGGACGGCUAACUACGUGCCAGCAGCCGCGGUAAUACGUAGGUCCCGAGCGUUGUCCGGAUUUAUUGGGCGUAAAGCGAGCGCAGGCGGUUAGAUAAGUCUGAAGUUAAAGGCUGUGGCUUAACCAUAGUAGGCUUUGGAAACUGUUUAACUUGAGUGCAAGAGGGGAGAGUGGAAUUCCAUGUGUAGCGGUGAAAUGCGUAGAUAUAUGGAGGAACACCGGUGGCGAAAGCGGCUCUCUGGCUUGUAACUGACGCUGAGGCUCGAAAGCGUGGGGAGCAAACAGGAUUAGAUACCCUGGUAGUCCACGCCGUAAACGAUGAGUGCUAGGUGUUAGACCCUUUCCGGGGUNUUAGUGCCGCAGCUAACGCAUUAAGCACUCCGCCUGGGGAGUACGACCGCAAGGUUGAAACUC